GUGUCUAUGUGUUUCAAAAAGGACAAUGAACAAUAUUUUAUGUAAUUGCGUGGCUCUUCACCCCCUAACUGUUGUCUGACUCUCCAAGAUGCAUGGACUGUAUGAUGUUGUAAUCCUGGAUGGGAGGCAGGAAGGGACAAAAAGCACAACAGGUGGAGAGUUCAGCUCCUGUGAAGAGGAAGGGAGUCUCACUAACAGAGAAGGGUAUUCAGCUGUUUAAGAAGGGCCAGUACUCUCAGGCUGUGGACAUGUUCUCUGAGGCUAUCCACUGUGACCCCAAAGACCACAGGU